rfam:Wolbachia endosymbiont of Onchocerca ochengi complete genome, strain wOo
GAGAAUCUGUUCUAUAUGUUAUUAGUUGAGUUAAGUUUCCCGAGCGAUAAUUUUUAGUCAAGGGAAUUACCUCUAUUGAUUUUAUUAGAGUUAAUAUGUGAUACCCACCUUAACUUCAGGUCUCAGGAAUCUACUAAGACUGACAAUAGAUACGGAUUCUAC